GCUGGNNCCUUAGGGGUCCGCAUNGUAAUUUGCNGNNGGANGCUUCGGGNNGUGGCCCCCAUCUAAGUGCCCUGGAACGGGCCGUCAUAGAGGGUGAGAAUCCCGUCUGGGAUGGGGUGUCCACGCCCGUGUGAAGCUCCUUCGACGAGUCGAGUUGUUUGGGAAUGCAGCUCUAAAUGGGUGGUAAAUUUCAUCUAAAGCUAAAUACUGGCCGGAGACCGAUAGCGCACAAGUAGAGUGAUCGAAAGAUGAAAAGCACUUUGAAAAGAGAGUUAAACAGCACGUGAAAUUGUUGAAAGGGAAGCGCUUGCGACCAGACUCGCCCACGGGGUUCAGCCGGCAUUCGUGCCGGUGUACUUCCCCGCGGGCGGGCCAGCGUCGGUUUGGGCGGCCGGUCAAAGGCCCUCGGAAUGUAACGCCCCCCGGGGCGUCUUAUAGCCGANGGUGCCAUGCGGCCAGCCCGGACCGAGGAACGCGCUUCGGCUCGGACGCUGGCAUAAUGGUCGUAAGCGACCCGUC
rnacentral:rRNA from 1 species